GUUGUGGUUCAGUGGUAGAGUGCUUGCCUAGAAUGUUUGAGGCACUGGGUUCGAUUCUCAGCACCACG
rnacentral:tRNA from 1 species